ensembl:lncRNA novel transcript
ACUGCGGCUACAGAGCCCCGAGUGGGAGGCCGGGGGGAGGCGGGGGCGCCGGAGCUGGGCUGCCUCUUACCUAUCAGGAAAUUAAAAUUUUAAGGGCUAAUUCCCCUUCAUUCAAGAAAUAUUUACUGUGAUGAAGACAUGUUCCAUGCAGAGGAAAUGGCCAAUGCAAAGAGCCCCUGACUGGAGGGCAUUUGGCACAUUCUAGGAGAGUGAGGAGGAUUCUAUGGGCCAGGAAUUCAGACAGGGCACAGUGUUGAUGGCUUGUCUGUGUCCUGGCUGGGAUGGCUCAAAUGGUUGUGGGACUAUUUGACUUGAAAGGCUGGAGCCUGGAAUCAUUUGAAACAUUGUUCACUCAUGUGUCUGGCACCUGCGUUAGAAUGACUGAAGGCUACAUCAACUAGAGUACUUACAUCCGGUCUCUCCAUGUGACUUGGACUUUUCACAGCGUGGAGGCUGGAUUUCAAAGGUCAACUGAGAAUGGCAGAGGACUCAUCCCACCUUUGCCACAUGGUGACUUGCCCCACUCCCCCAGGUGACCUUGCUCGUGCAUGUGGAUAUUUGCUCAGAUUAAGAAUGUUUCCCACAAAAUUGCUUACUCUCUUUCAUUCUGUCCGUGGUUGCUUGUGGUUUAUUUGUUGAUAACUGAGACUAUUUAAAGAUUGCCAAAACAAAAGCCAUUUCUUUUCUCCCCGAAUAGCCUCAUUUUUUCUAUUCCCUUUUUCCCCUCCUAUUAACAUUUCUGGGGACUCUAAAGCAGAGCUCAAGAUGGUUCAGGACCACGGAGAGCGCAAGGAAGGGGAACUACCAAAGCACUUUAGUCAUGCAGGUGGGGAAAGAGAUGAUCCUAAAAUUGUUUUUAUUUUUCUGUUUUUUUGAGAGGGAGUCUCGCUCUGUCACCCAGGCUGGAGUGCAGUAGCACGAUCUUGGCUCACUUCAACCUCCGCGUCCCGGGUCCAAGCGAUUCUAGCGCCUCAGCCUCCUGAGUAGCUGGGAUUACAGGUGUGCACCACCAUGCCCAGCUAAUUUUUUGUAUUUUUAGUAGAGACUGGGUUUUGCCAUGUUGGCCAGGCUGGUCUCCAAUUCCUGACCUCCAGUGAUCCACCCCCCUCAGUCUCCCAAAGUGCUGGGAUUACAGGCGUGAGCCACCACGCCCAGCCAAUAGUGGAAUUGUUGCCGGACAAUAUUUAUUUAAAAGACAUUAUUGUAAAGAGUAACAGUGUAAUUCUGGCUCCUUGAAAUUUGAGGGGAAUGAUUUUUCUGGACAUUCGACCAGUGCUUUCUAAAUUUCUCCACUGAAUUCUAUCUAAUGACAGAUGAGAGGACACUGAAAGUAGGAGUAGCCAUAAGUCACCAGUGCAAAAUGUCUUUUGAAGUUUGCAUUUAUUGAUUGCUACCAUUUAUGUAAAGUUUUACAGUUUUGACAGUCAUAGGGUUCACCAAUCCACCAUAGAAGAGAAUUAAGUCAUGCGGACACAGCAGGGUUUAGAAUGGAUGAGUAGAGGAGUGUGUGCAGGCUCCAGUCCCCAAAGUCUCUAGGACUGUCCUAGAACCUGCAGCUCAUCUGUCAAUUCUGUCAACUACUCAGGAUCCUCUCAAGAAUUAUCCCCCCAUACCCACCUUUUAAAUUUCCUCAAGCUAGUUUCAUUUGAGUUUUGUCACUUGCAACUGAAUGAGCCCUGCUAAUGCAGAUAGAUUCAAUUGAGAAGGGGAAUUCUAGGCUAGGAGUACAAGGUUACAGGCAAGGAGACAGGAACAUAGCUUGGGAUUUCCUGGGGCAGUGAGAAAACUGACUUUAAAAAAAUGGAAUGGUUUCUAAAAUGUUUGUACAACUUCUCUGUAUGGCAAUGGGGUAGGAGUAUAAAUUCUUUCAGCUUCUUCUGAGGGCAGCUGAACAAGAAGUAUAAAAAUUUUGAAUGCUGAUAACAUUUGACCUAGCAAUUCCAUCUCUAGAAAUAAAUUCUACAGUAGUAAUCUUAAAAACGUAUUCACUGAAAUGUUAUUUUCUCAUAGAAAAUGUCGAAACAACAUAUGUGUCCAUCAAUAGAGAACUUGCUAAAUGAUUUAUACUACCUUUACAUAUUGAAAUACGCAUAGCCGUGGAAGAUAAUUUAGUAGAUCUAUAUGUCCCAUUAUGGAACAAUCCCCAUGGUGGGGGGAAAAGUAAGGUGCAGAACUGUAUCAUAGAUGUUCUCUCUCUCUCUCUUUUUUUUUGGAAAGCACAUGUAUGCUUUUAUAUACACAGAAAAAUUCUAGAAUGGCAAACAAGAUAUCUUUGCAAUAGUUUUUUUCUGGGAGGGGACUCAUUUAAAAAAAUUCUCCCAUAUUGCUUGUUUUGUUUUGUUAAAGACAUCCAUGUAUUCCUACUUGGGUUAAGCCAUGAUAACUAAAUAUGAUUAAAGUUCAGAACAAUAAAAACCUUAGAGAUGUAUACAUAAAUAUCACUUGCUUAGGAAUUUCUAGGUAGGUACUAUUUUAAGCCCUCUACAUAUAUUAUUUCAUUCAAUCCUUGGAGCAACUCUAGGAGGGAGGUGUUAUCCUCUAAUUGCAGAUGAGGUUGAUGAAGCUUAAAGAGUAAUGAUGCCUUGAGUCCAUCCUCUGGCUCCAAAGCCCUUGUAUUUAACUGUUCUCCCUUUUGCAUCCCUGUGCUAAAGUGACUUUGCUAUAAUAUCCACAAGGAAGAAUUUCUGUGUAAAAAUUAGACUUCCUUGCAGGCAGUCUAUCAGUGAUAUCCAAUAAAGACUCAAUAAUGGCUAACAAUACAAACCACACACACAAGAAAAACUUCUCCUUUUGUGCCAGGUACUUAGAUUAGGUGUAGUGGUUUUCUUAAACUGAUUAUCAAGGUAAACACCACCUCAUACAUUUCAGCAGAGAGCAGUGGUUUCUCUCUCCAGCAGUGGGAGCCAUUGAAUCAGGACAAUGCCACACAGUUGGGCUUUCAUGUUAGAUAGAUCACUCUUGUGGUUUUGGGGGAUGGCAUUAUAAGAGAGGAGACUGGAGACAGGGGGGCUAUUGUCAUGCAGAUUUGUUGGAUGUCCACCCAGCAUUCACUUUUUCCAUCUUUUGCCAGGGGUACACUACACAACAUCACCAGUCAUUUCAUAGAAUGGCAAUUAGAUUAGGCUUAGGUCUGCACUGCCUUCCUUCACUCCGCUCUGUCACUUGCCAUCAUUGUAAAUGCUGACAACUUAGUGCCUUUCAUGCUUCAAGUAUCAAUAAGAUAGGAAUAGUAAUAGUAUCACAUUGAAUUAUUGUGGAGUUUUGAACAGAUGAUACUUGUGUUAUCAGUGCUCAAU